UUCCUGGUAGCCUAGUGGUUAAGGACCCGGCAUUGUCACUGCCAUGGCACAGGUUUGAUUCCUGGCCUGGGAA
rnacentral:tRNA from 1 species